CCUACGGGUGGCUGCAGUGGGGAAUUUUGGACAAUGGGGGCAACCCUGAUCCAGCCAUGCCGCGUGAGUGAAGAAGGCCUUCGGGUUGUAAAGCUCUUUCGGCCGGGAAGAAAUCGCCAUCUCUAAUAUAGGUGGUGGAUGACGGUACCGGAAUAAGAAGCACCGGCUAACUACGUGCCAGCAGCCGCGGUAAUACGUAGGGUGCGAGCGUUAAUCGGAAUUACUGGGCGUAAAGCGUGCGCAGGCGGUUUUUUAAGAUAGGCGUGAAAUCCCCGGGCUUAACCUGGGAACUGCGCUUAUGACUGGAAGACUAGAGUACGGCAGAGGGGGGUGGAAUUCCACGUGUAGCAGUGAAAUGCGUAGAGAUGUGGAGGAACACCGAUGGCGAAGGCAGCCCCCUGGGCCGAUACUGACGCUCAUGCACGAAAGCGUGGGGAGCAAACAGGAUUAGAUACCCGAGUAGUCAU
rnacentral:rRNA from 1 species